rnacentral:tRNA from 1 species
GCCCCCGUAGCUCAGUGGACAGAGCGGCUGCCUUCUAAGCAGCGGGUCGCAGGUUCGAAUCCUGCCGGGGGCG